UAGCAAGUGAUAAAACCAUCCCUUGAAACCCUGGCCUGUUUCUUUUUCUUCCUCGUCUGGCUAGGACUCUAACCGAGCCGCACCACCUCUCUCCCACGAUGGUUCCUGGGUUUCUCUCCCGGCCUUCCUUUUCACUUGCCUUAGCUUGUUUUAGACGCCAACCAAACGAAAUAGCGUCUUUUCAACGCCAAAUUGCCCAACACUAUAAAAACCGUUCCCUUUACUCACAAAAUCUUAGAUCUCAGAUUUCAGAUAUCAAAUCUCAGAUCGUUUCUUACUCUCUUUGAAGAAAUUGUGUUGCGAUGGCUGAUUUUCGUCUUCAAGACCUUUGUCAACCUCAACUCACACAAAUCGCUGCUGAAAAUACCAAAGCAGUUGCAGAAGAAUACUUUAAGUUGGGAAAUAUCAACAAGGCCAUCCAAUAAGGAUUCGCAGCACUUGAUUUGAACCCUGAGUUACGAAUGGUCCAAAAAUGCACUGCAGCUUAUCUUGUUCACAAGUUUGAUUUGAUGCUAUGCUUUUGCCAGAAGAUGAAGAUGGACGAUACUGAAGUCCUAUAUUCGAUUCUUUUUAUCGAAGAUUGUUCUGCCGUAGUUGAUGCUGCGACUAUUAGAAAACACUACAAGGAAGUGGUACUAUUGGUCCAUCCGGACAAGAAUGAUUCAGUUGCAGCAGAUGGUGCUUUCAAGAUCGUUCGUCAGGCUUGGGAAACUCUCUUAUCUGAUCACAAAAAAAGAAGAAAGACUCGAUGAGGAUGAAGUUUUUUGGUUUGGAUUAGAUUCAUUUUGAAUGUAUUCAAAUUUUUUUAUGAAUAAUAUGUAGUUAGUUUUUAUUUUGUUCUGAUUUUGUUACUUUUUUUAGAUUCAAUUUGAUUUUGAUUUUUAGUGUCAGUCCAAUUUCAUAAUUGAUCACAAUUAUGAUUAAGCAUUCCAAGUUGAAAUGCUACCAUCAUCAAUCCAUAAUAUAAUAUACAGAGUAAAUUGAAGCAAAUUAUUUGAAGAAUAUUCUGUUGUGGGUUUUUUUAGGGGUGAUAGUUUGUUGAUUAUUCAUUAUCUCAAUGUCAAUUCUUUUUUUUUUGGCNAUACAUCAUUAUAUUUCUUUUUCUGUAACUAAUUUAUAACAAUAAUAAUCUUAAAAAUUAUUAAAAUUAAUAAACAAUUCUUGAUUCUACUAAUUUAAAUUUUUUAUACAAAACUUUUAACAUCAAUUGUUCAUAAAAUUUACAAAUCUGUCGUGUAUAGUCUGUAUUUUUCUAAUUUUAUAAAUGAAAAUAAAAAACUACAAAAGUAGUAUGUUAUAACGAUUAAAUACCUUUAAUUAUAAUUAUUCUCAAUCAUAAUUUCUUAUUGCAAUGAAUACCAAAUUGAAUUUUGGUUCAAGAAAGAUAAGAUGCAUUUUGAGUAGAAAUUUUAAAUUCAAAUCAUAGAGUUCAUCACGUGAAAAAGAAAAAAAAAAUUUUUUGAAUAAUUUUGAGAGAAAAUGACGUCGUUUGUUGUUAGUCACUUGAAAUGAGUGAAAUGACGUCGUUCCUUCUUAAUGCUUAUUUCCCUCCUGCCACACGGUGUCGUUUUAGCAAGUGAUAAAACCAUCCCUUGAAACCCUGGCCUGUUUCUUUUUCUUCCUCGUCUGGCUAGGACUCUAACCGAGCCGCACCACCUCUCUCCCACGAUGGUUCCUGGGUUUCUCUCUCGACCGUCCUUUUCACUUGCCUUAGCUUGUUUUAGACGCCAACCAAACGAAAUAGCGUCUUUUCAACGCCAAAUUGCCCAACACUAUAAAAACCGUUCCCUUUACUCACAAAAUCUUAGAUCUCAGAUUUCAGAUAUCAAAUCUCAGAUCGUUUCUUACUCUCUUUGAAGAAAUUGUGUUGCGAUGGCUGAUUUUCGUCUCCAAGGUCUUUGUCAAUCUCAAUUCACAGAGAUUGCUGCUGAAAGAGCUAAAGUAGCUGCAGAGGAAUAUUUCAAGUCGGGAAACAUCGACAGAGCUAUUCAGCAAGGGUUCGCAGCACUCGAUUUGAACCCCAAUUUACGGAUCGUGCAGAAGUACAUUGCCGCCUAUUUGAUUCACAAGUUUGCUUCUAUGUUAAGUCUUUGCCAGAAAAUGAAGGUAGACGAUACCAAAGUUCUGUACUCCAUUCUUUUUAUCGAAGAUUGUUCUGCCGUAGUUGAUGCUGCGACUAUUAGAAAACACUACAAGGAAGUGGUACUAUUGGUCCAUCCGGACAAGAAUGAUUCAGUUGCAGCAGAUGGUGCUUUCAAGAUCGUUCGUCAGGCUUGGGAAACUCUCUUAUCUGAUCGCAACAAAAGAAGAAAGACUCGAUGAGGAUGAAGUUUUUUGGUUUGGAUUAGAUUCAUUUUGAUAUGUAUUCAAAUUUUUUAUGAAUAACAUGUAGUUAGUUUUUAUUUUGUUCUGAUUUGGUUACUUUGUUGAGAUUCAAUUUGAUUUUGAUUUUUAGUGUCAGUCCAAUUUCAUAAUUGAUCACAAUUAUGAUUAAGCAUUCCAAGUUAAAAUGCUACCAUCAUCAAUCCAUAAUAUAAUAUACAGAGUAAAUUGAAGCAAAUUAUUUGAAGAAUAUUCUGAUGUGGGUUUUUUAGGCAAUGAACGUUUUCUUUAAGCUUUCAGAUUUUAUUUUGUUAAAAUAAAUUUCUUUGUGUUAUAUAUUUUGUAAGUCUCUUUCGUUAGCUUGAAAUUGAAUUCUGGGUUCAAGAGGUUAUUGUAUUAAGUAACUAUGUGUUUUGCUUGCUUCAGUGUUUGUAUCGGUGCUGCAGUUAUUCACUUUCCUUCUGAUUUGAUACAAUCAAACUAAAAAAAAGAAGGAAAAAAAUUUUUUUUCACAAAAGUUACUAUAAUAUUUUUCUUUUUAUGGGUGAUAGUUUGUUGAUUAUUCAUUAUUUCAGUGUCAAUUCUUUAUUUUUGGCUUAAGUUAAACAGGCAUUGAAAAACCAAUACUUGCUUGCAAAAGAAGAACCAUAUCAGUUCUACGUGCCUUUUGAUUCUUCAAUUGUUAUCAAAUGCUUGCUCAUGUUGUCCAGAUGUUCCCAAAUGAUGUUUCCUUGGGCGAUAUCAUUGACGCUGCAAAGUCUUUCAGGUUUGUUAUUCGGUUUUUCUCACUUAGAGGUUGAAUCACAAUUUAUCAUAUGUUUAUUUUUGCAUAAGUGUGCAUGUGUAGUAGUAUAAGGCUGUUAAAGGGAAUAUAAUUUGUCAGUUUUUAUACAUAGCAAACCCUAAGUGUGAUUUCUUGGAAAAGCAGAAGUCCAAUAAUGGACUAUACACGUUCCUCUUUUAUCAUUACUCAUAUCUUAGCCUAAAUUACUCUUGUUGUUUCUGUGCUAAAAGUAAUGCUGCUAAUAUCUAGUUCUGGCCAACUUUUGCUGAGCUGUUUGCAAUAAUUGUUGUAUACGCAUUUAUGUAAAGGUACAUUUUUUCUUGGGCCUUAAUUCACUUACCAUGUAGUUCUCUCCUGAAUCAUGUUUCUGUCCCAUUUAUAAAUGUUAGGCUAUGAUUUGAAUUGCCUUGUUAAGGAAGCAUUAUCUAUUGAAAUGUUGCUGGCAGCUAUCCUCUAACUUAAGGGUGCAGGAGACACGGUCUUCAUUGGAGUGGUUUGUGGGAAAAGUACAAGACAUGAUUAUCUAAAUACUUUGAGACGAUCUAUAGUGAAGGGUUCAAAUGAAUCAAGGUGAGAGGUUUAAAGAAGCUGAUCAGUUUUGCACUUCAUUGCCUUUGUCAUAUAAAAGUUUUAAUCUCUAUUCACCCACCAAAAAGGAGGAAUAGGAAAGAGAAUUGCAAAAGUGGAAGCUUUUUUACAUUUGCAUAAUGCCUGAUGCAGGCAUACGUUUAAGUACUUAGAGAGAGAUGAGACAAUGGUAGCUCACUUGGUGGGGGAAUUGAUGCAUUCAUAAAGCUGUCUCAAAGUUAGCUGCUAUCAAAAUCUCUAUUCAAUGUUGUAUAUACUUUCUAAAAUUUGAAGUCUAUGUUCCAAAUUCUGAGGAAAUCAUUGGUAGAGAUAUCACCGGGAUCGGAUCUCGGUACAAUAUACAUCUCAACACCUGUGGAGAAAUGUUAGUUAUGUUUCUGUUAGUAGCUUUUGUACUAGUGUAAUUUUUAUUACAAAAAUCAGUCAUGUAGGGUGCCUAGUGAUUUGAUUAUGAUAAUUGAUUUCCACGGUAAGAUGUACAAGUUUGGGUACUCCAGGACCAGAUCUCCAUUGCAGUGAUGUGGAAAGUUCAAGGAAAACGUUGUCAAGGGUCAUAAAUAUUGUGAAAGAAUUAACUCUAGCAUUUGUUUUUAAUUUACACUAGAUCUUCUGUCUGCUCGUGAGUAACGGGUUUUGCUUGUUUUCAUGACUUUUUCUUUAAAUUUAUCAUCACUAUUCACAAUGAUAUAUAUGAAUGAUAAUUAAAGAUAUAUUAAAAGAUAAUGACAAGAAAGUAUUGAGUUGUUCAGCUUUAAUUAUUUGGCACAGGCAAUGAGUCAAUGAGGGCAAAUGCUAUUGGCAGUUGUGUUGUGCUCAACCAUGGAGGAGGUUGCGCGGUAGACAAGAUGCUCAUGGAGUUUGCUUCACCGUCAAUAAUCCAUAUGAUACUUCUAUUUGUUGUUAUCCUCGUUAAUUCAUUUUUAAUUUUAUUAUUAUUUAUCUUUUUAAAAAUUGAUUUUACUAGAAUUCUGAUCAAUUUUGCUUUUCUAAUUUAAAUACUGUCUUUUAUGGUUUCUUUAUGCCUUGUAUAUUGGUGCACAGUAUGAUGCAUUUAACUUGAUAUACAUAAGAUGCACAAUAUGAUACAUUUAAUUUGAUAUUGCAUUACAGGUAGAAGACUUUAGGCAGCAGGGAACUAAGAUGAGAAGAAAGAUGUGGCUUCAGAAUAUGAAGAUAAAAUUGAUUGUUUUGGGUAUCCUUAUUGCCCUGAUUCUUAUCAUUGUGCUGUCAGUCUGCCACGGCUUCAAAUGUUAAUCUGUCUUGGAUUUCCCUCGUACCGCUCUUGCUGCCAGGGAUGUCUUGAUAGAUUGGUUUGUCUUACUUGUUUUUUUAGGGCAUAUAUUUCUCCCUUUGCUUGCGGUUUAGGAUAGGGGGAGGCUUUGUAUCUUGGUUGGCUGUAUAGGUUAUAGUUUGAACUUGUUACGGUAGAUAAAAAUUUCUAUGGAGGAUUUCUUCUUUAUACUGUGAUGGGGGUAUACUCGGAUUCCUGCAUAUCAUAUUUGUCCUUUUGAAAUGUUAUUAAUCUGUUUUUUUGGUUUUUGUCGCUUAUCAUGUAAAUCCUUUUGUAUGCAUUUCUCUUUUAGACGUAAGAGGAGACAGUUGGUUUUGUAAAAUUUUUUAAUGCUUAGGAGCCUAUGGUUGCAUGAGUAGCUCGGUGUCUUUGCCUUCCGCAGAGAAGGUCUUCAGCUCUAAUGAUUAGAGCGAUGUGUAUGAUUGAUUUUCCCCGCUCCCCUUGAAGUCUUGUUUUGAGGAUCUAUUCUUUCUCCAGAGAGAAAUUUGGGGAAUAAGUAAAGAAUUUUGAUGAAGGGUUGUUUUGUCAAAAAAUAAAAAACUAGUUUGACUACGAAACAAAUCGAAUUUUAUACGGUAGUUGGUUCUUUUUCGAUUUUACAUUAUUCCAAUAAAAGGAGUUAGCAUAUUUUUGCUUGAAAACAAUCCAAUUUGAGUUUCUAACCUUAAAUCGAGUUUGAGCAAUGAAAAUUAAUGUCUACAUGAACAGAUUAUAAUAUGUGAACAACUGUAGCAAUGAUGUGUUUUGUGCAUAAUAUGUUGAGAUUAGAUCCCACUAUUAGAAAAACUAAUGUCUAACUCAAAUUUUAACAUUUUGAAAUUCUUUCAAUAUUAAAUACUUGAAAACCUUAUGUCCGUUGUUGGCUGGAUCGUCUUUGUCCCAUUAUCCUCUCUAACCCAUCCUUUUUACGUGUUUUAAAAUUAUAAAUAAUAUAUAUAUAUAUAUUUAUAUAUUGUAAAACAAAAAAAUUAUAAUAAUUAAUAUUUUAUAAAUGAAAAUAAAAGAUUACAAAAGUAAUCUGUUAUAACAAUUAAAUAUCUUUAAUUAUAAUUAUUCUCAAUCAUAAUUUCUUAUUGCAGUCAAUACCCAAUUGAAUUUUGGUUCAAGUAAGAAAGAUAAGAUGCAUUUUGAAUAGAAAUUUUAAAUUCAAAUCAUAGAGAUCAUCACGAAAAAAAGAAAAAAAUAAAAAUUUCGUAUAGUUUACAGAGAAAUCCCAGCAAAGAAUAUGACGUCGUUUAUUUUUAAUCACUUGCAAUGAGUGAAAUGACGUCGUUUCCUUCUUGAAGCUUAUUUCUCUCCUACCACACGGUGUCGUUUUAUCAAGUGAUAAAAGCAUCCCUUGAAACCUCAGCCUGCUUCUUUUUCCCCGCUUGUCUGGCUAGGACUCUUACCGAGCCGCACCACCUCUCUUCCACGAUGGUUCCUGGGUUUCUCUCCCGGCCUUCCGUUCUCGAGCCGCAACUCCUGAUCACUUGCUUUAGCUUACUUUAGACGCUAACCAAACAAGAUAGCUUUUUUUCAACGCCAAAUUGCCCAACACUCUAAAAACCGUUCCCUUAUCUCACAAAUCUUAGAUCUCAGAUUUCAGAUAUCAAAUAUCAGAUCGUUUCUUACUUUCCUUGAAGAAAUUGUGUUGUGAUGGCCGAUUUUCGUCUUCAAGGUAUUUGUCAAUCUCAAUUCACAGAGAUUGCUGCUGAAAGAGCUAAAGUAGCUGCGGAAGAAUAUUUCAAGUUGGGAAACAUCGACAGGGCUAUUCAGCAAGGGUUCGCAGCACUCGAUUUGAACCCCAAUUUACGGAUCGUGCAGAAGUACAUUGCCGCCUAUUUGAUUCACAAGUUUGCUUCUAUGUUAAGUCUUUGCCAGAAAAUGAAGGUAGACGAUACCAAAGUUCUGUACUCCAUUCUUUUUAUCGAAGAUUGUUCUGCCGUAGUUGAUGCUGCGACUAUUAGAAAACACUACAAAGAAGUGGUACUAUUGGUCCAUCCGGACAAGAAUGAUUCAGUUGCAGCAGAUGGUGCUUUCAAGAUCGUUCGUCAGGCUUGGGAAACUCUCUUAUCUGAUCACAACAAAAGAAGAAAGACUCUACGAAGAUGAAGUUCUUUGGUUUGGAUUAGAUUCAUUUUGAUAUGUAUUCAAAUUUUUUAUGAAUAAUAUGUAGUUAGUUUUUAUUUUGUUCUGAUUUUGUUACUUUUCUUAGAUUCAAUUUGAUUUGAUUUUUAGUGUCAGUCCAAUUUCAUAAUUAAUCACAAUUAU
rnacentral:lncRNA from 1 species